AAGUCCAUUUCUGCUUAGUUUCGUAGGAUUCAGAUCACAGAGGCUUUGAUGUACUGUUACGUUAGCUUAACCAGUGCAAUCUAUUUGAACUAGGAGUGAGGAUCUCCCUCUGAAAAACAGGGGCUGGGUUUGAUUAUUUCUAGAGUCCUUCGAAAAUUCAAUAUCGGAAAUCCUGAAAUUCCUUUUACAUUACUUUUGUGUGUACUCCAUGAAAACUGUUUCCCUGGAUUGCUGGUUUCUUUCUGCCUCUACUUGGCACAAUAUCAAUUCUUAGAUAAAAAACUGGAACCUGAGAGAGUAGGGUGGGAUGUGAGCAGGUAAUUUUUUUAUUUGCAUGCCUGCCUUACACAUGUGCUUAAUCAGCCUUGUAGUUUGAAUAAGCAGUAGAAGCAAUGCUAUGUAUCUGAGCUAUUUUGAGACACUGGAAACAUUGUGUCUCUUUCAAAAUUGGCCACGUCUUUUUUGAUUUUCUUCCCACUCUGAACAUAAAACAGGUGCACCAGCAAUAGUUGGCACAAAGUGAAAAAGUUUUUGCAUUGAAGACUGAUCAUUUCUUGUAGUUCACUUUAUCUUAGUCAUCAGUGUUGAUUCAGAGAUAUUAAGUAUGGUAAUAACUUGAAGCCAAAUUAGUCAAGAUUUGGCCAGCACUAACCAGGGUUUGCUUUAACUGUGGGAGGAACUUGCAAAAGGCAAUAUUGAUUAUGUCUGGGAUAUGCCAAUUAUAAUUUGACAUUCUGAUUUCUGCUUUUUGUUUAACUUAGAAGCAGAUUCUGCUUUGCUCUAUUUGUAAAAGACAACUGGAUGAGCGAAGAUUACUACUUGCAAUAAGACUAGCAAUUUAUCUGAAAUUAGAGGCAGAGACAAAAUAUCUACUUUUUGCUCAUUCCGACUCAAAAUGGGUGAAGCAACAACUCCUAGAUGCAGUGACGUGGAACAUUAUCAUUUACUUUUCUUACAUUCCAUUUCUGUUUAUAAUUUCGACAAUGUAUUGUACAUGAAUGCAGGUGAGUGAUGUCCUGCUAGCUAUGACUAGACAUGUUUCGGAGGGGACAAAUGACCAAGAGCUUAUCUAAAAAUCUGGUGGAAACAUCUUUCUCUCCUUGCCUCCAGGUUUUCAUCCGCCUCCUGGAGAGACUCAAAAGGACAUGCUGAAAGAUGAACAGAGUGGUUAAUUACAACUAAAUCUCAUGAACCAGUAAAUAUUAAGUGUCUUUCAUCCUCUGUCUCCUUUAUCCCUUGGGGUUCCUCCAGUACCCACUGAGAAUGGGCUGAACUAACAUAAGAUCCCAAAGAAUGGAAGUUCUUCCCUGACUUCAAGAAAGAAUUUGUUAAAAACAUGAUUUCUUGGGCUGGCCCUGUGUUAUAGUAGUUAAGUUACCACACUCUGCUUUGGUGGCCCAGGGUUUGCAGGUUUGAAUCCUGGGUGUGGACCGAGCAGUGCUUGUCAAGACACACUGUGGUGGCAUCCCACAUAAGAUAGAGGAAAAUUGGUAUAGAUGUUAGCUCAGCAACAGUCUUCCUCAAGCAAA
rnacentral:lncRNA from 1 species